rnacentral:rRNA from 1 species
UAAAGAUCCUAUAAAAACUAUUAUACGGAUGGCUUGGCUUAAGUCGUGACGAAGGACGUGGCAAGCUGCGAUAAGCUCUGGGGAGGUGCAUGCAACCUUUGAUCCAGAGAUUUCCGAAUAUGAAACAUUUUAAUUCACGCAAGUGAAAGCGUACCCCGGGAAUUGAAACAUCUUAGUACCGGUAGGAGAAGAAAAUAAUAAUGAUUCCGUUAGUAACAGCGAGCGAACGCGGAACAGAACAAACCGAAUCCGUCGAUGAAAGUCGAUGGAGAUGUGGAGUGACAAGAGUACAUCUGGGACUUCUGAUUUUAACUGAUCUGGAAAGAUUGGCCACAGAGAGUGAUAGCCUCGAGAGAGAGGAAGUUAUGGUGAUUUCUUGUAUCAAGAGUAGGAUAACCUGGAUUGGUUGUCUGAACACGGCACAACUGAGUGCUAAUUCUAAAUAUGGACUUAAGUCCGAUAGCGUACUAGUACUGCGAAGGAAUGUUGAAAAGAACUCUUAACAGAGAGUUAAAAGACCUGAAAUAUAAUAGUUAUGGUUAGUUACUGCCCUACGGGGUUGUAACGUGCGUUUUGGAAAACGAGCCAAGGAGUUGAUAUAAUUGGCGAGGUUAAGUCUCUAUGAGACGUAGCCGAAGCGAAAGCAAAUCUCCGCAAGUAAUCAGGGAGAGCGUCCUAAUCGGCGUCAGUCAAUUAUUUCUGACCUGAAUCCAGAUGAUCUAAUCGUGAACAGGAUGAAGCCUUCCCAACGGAGGGUGGAGGUCCGAACAAAUGCUACGGGCAAGUGCUUUGAUGAUUUACGAUUAGGGGUGAAAAGCCUAUCGAAUCUGGCGAUGGCUGGUUCCGGUUGAAAUAUACCUAGGUAUAGCCUGAAGUUAGUUGGUUAUCGAGGUAGAGCGACGGAUUGAACAUGCAGGCACUUCCCAGUGUCGGUGCUCAGUCCAACUCCGAAUUUGAUAACAAUGCAGCUUCAGAUCCAGGGCUAGGGAGUAAGUUUCUAGUCCGAAACUCGAACAAGAGAGAUCGAGGUUAAGGUCCCUAAAUGUAGACUAAGUGUUUUGAAAGGAGUCUUGAUUCUGAGACAGUUGGGAGGUAGGCUCAGAGGCAGCCAUCCUUUAAAGAAAGCGUAACAGCUCACCUAUCGAGAAACAAGGCACUGAAAAUUGACGGGGCUAAGUCUAUUACCGAUACCUCGAUAUUUGUCGUAUGACAAAUUAGGUAAACCGGCGUGGUGUUUGGGUAGAAGCGUUUCCGUGAGGAGGCGUGGACCGAAUACUAAUGAAAAUCUUGGCAAUAGUAGGAUCUUACUUGUAUGAAAACUACAAGGGUCGUAAGAGCAAGGGUUCCUCGGCACUGUCAAUCAGCCGAGGGUUAGUCGAUCCUAACUGUGCCCUUAACUGAAGCACAGGAAAACGGAGGGCUGGUUAAUAUUCCAGCACUAUAUGAUUCGCUAAGGAUUUUAAUGACAUUUUGGAGUAUGCACGACGUAUCCGCAAGGACGGUUGUAUACAUAGGGAACAGGAGUUACGUAAUGUAGAGAAUGUUUCUAAAGUAUGCUUCGAAAGCGUGUAGAUCUCGAGAGUCCGUGAAAAUUUAGAAUUUUUGAAUUAUAUAUUCGUACCUAGAACUUGCACUAGUGCUCUAGCUGAGUAGGUUAAGACCUGAAAGCUUAAAGAUAGUAAGGGAAUUCGGCAUAUUAGUAGCGUAUCUUCGGUAUAAGCUAUGCCUAUAACUGUGUUGAUAGAAAUAUACAAUGCAGUAGUAGGUUGCAAUAACAAGGAUCGCCCGACUGUUUAUCAAAAACGUAGCCAGUUGCUAAUCCGAAAGGAUGCGUACAACUGGUGAGACCUGCCCAGUGGUGGUGUCUGAAACUUCGUUCCAACGGAGCUAAUGCCCAUUAAACGGCGGGCCUAACUGUGAGGCUCUUAAGGUAAACAAUUACGAUUGCCUUAGUAAAAUUUGGCUAUUUGCUGGAAAAUCCGAGUAUUUCAAACUACGACGAUAAAUUUAUUAAAUCUGUUGUCGUGAAAAUGUUAUGAAUGCGGACAAUCAGCAGGAAAGAUUAAAUGCUGAAUGGAUUGUUGGUUUUACUGAUGGAGAAGGAUGUUUUCAUGUCUCUAUCAAUAAAAUUUCUGAAAUGAAAUUAGGGUGGCAAGUGCUACCUGAAUUUAGAAUUGUUCAACAUGAAAAGAAUGAAGAAGUUCUUUAUAAAAUAAAAACUUUUUUUGAUUUUGGUGAUGUAACUAUCAAUAGAAUAGAUUAUCACGGAACAAGAAAAGAAUUUAGAGUAAGAGGAAAAGAAAAUUUAAAUAAAAUUGUUAGAUUUUUUGAAAAAUAUCCUCUGAAAACAUCAAAGCAAAAAGAUUUUGAAAUUUUUGCAUUGAUUAUAAAAAAGAUGAACAAUGGAGAACAUCUAACAAAACAAGGGUUAGAUGAAAUUGCUAAACUCAUUUCUAAUAUGAAUAGACAAUCUAAAAAGUAUUUAGAAUCCUCAGAGACUAUACGCCAAAAAUAAAAGAUAAUAAGGAAAGAAAACUUGAUUGUCUUUUAUUAAGAUAUAGUCCGACCUUCAUAGCGAUAUGAAGAAAUUGUUAGAAAUAACAAUUCGUUACAAUUUAUUUCUUUAGAUAAUUGUAAUAGUAACAAAAGUGAGCGUAAUACCUUGUCAUCUGAAUGGUGACUUGCAUGAAUGGUUUAACGAGGUGGUCACUGUCCCUACUGUCGAGCUUCCGAAAAUUCCGUCCUGGUGCAAAGGCCAGGGACGCCUAGUGGGAAGCGGAGACCUUGUGGACCUUUACUGCAGCUUGUUGUUGUGGUUUUAUGCUUUAUACAUAGUGUAGCUGGGAGAGAUGACGGGUAGCUUAGGCAAACCUGAUCGACAAUGUAACACCAGUUAUAAUACAUGACAUCACUCACUCUUUACAGAGGACAGCGGCAUGUGGGCAGUUUGGCUGGGGUGGCACCCUGCAGAAAAGAUAUCUGUAGGGCCCAAUGGUAAGCUCAUUGUAGUUGGAAACUACGAGUAGAGCGCAGAGGUAAAUGCUUGCCUGACUGUGACAUACCCAAACAAUGUCGCAGAUGCGAAAGCAUGGCUCAGCGAACCUAUCAUGUCUUUCUGUGGGACAGAUAGAUGACAAAAAAGGUACCCCAAGGAUAACAGGUUUGUCGCGCCCGAUAGUCCAUAUUGACGGCGCGGCUUGAUACAUCGCCGUCGGCUCUUCCUAUCCUGGAUGUGCACAAGCAUCCAAGGGUGUCGGAGUUCACGCAUUAAAAGGGAUCGUUAGCUGGGUUAAGAACGUCGCGAGACAGUUUGUUUGAUAUCUGCUAGGCGUGUUGUUGUCUGAGCGAAAGAACGUUUUAGUACGAGAGGAACGGGCGUUCGUAGCCUCUGGUACGUCGAUUGCAUUUAUAUUGCACGUCGAUAAGCUACGCUAUGUGGUGAUAAACACUGAAAGCAUCUAAGUGUGAAGCGCCCCGCGAAAAGAGACAACUGAGGCCGUUAUAAAAGAUGACGUUGAUAGAGUUGCUGUGUACGCAUCAAGCUUCGGCGAGGUGUUCAGCAGUCAACUACUAAAAGCCUUAAAUAAAAUUAUA